UGUCCGGAAGUGGGUGAUCAGAUCUAAACAAAUAUCAGUGCGUUCAGUGUUUUACUGUUUAAUGAGUUUAAUUUAAUCAGAAGAUUUUUAAAGUUUCACUCAUUAAAGUUGAAUUUAUUUAGUGUGCCUCGGGAGCGCGCACAGGCUUGCGCAGCGCGUGCUCGAUUAAUUAUAGAUCAAUGUUGAUGUGAGAGUUCACAGUCUGUUAGUGGAUUUAGUCGAUCAACAGUAUGGUGUGUGAGCUGCUGCUGUCGUCUAUCUGGUUUCUCUUUGUGAUCUUCUGGUUGGAGACCAUCAGUGUUUGGCUCUUCUUGUGUUUGUACCAUCAGGACCGAGUUUACUAUCACUGGGGCUCCAGGGAGUUUGCAGAUGAUCCAGGCCAGCUCCUGUAUGUGCUGAGCAGAAUCGAUCUCUCUGCACACGUGCAAACAUGAGGAAGUGAUGUCAUCUCUCAUGAAGCGAGUGAGAGCCAAUCAGAGUCGGUGAUGAUGUGUGGGUUAAACAGUUUCUAGAAACUUCCGUUAGAGAUUCUAUGAUCAUUCAAUGUUUAAAUGUGACCAAUUAAACUGCCUGUAUAAAUCUGAGAAGUGUAAUAACAUUUAUCAAAGACAUUGUUCACAGUAAUAUUGUGUUAUAAAGGGUUUAUUAUCAGAGUUAUUCAUUGAGGCUGUUGUGUGACACGACCUGCUGGAGAGAAACACAUGUCAAAGGAAAUACUGAGAGUGUAAAUGUGUAACGUUUCUGUGUCUUUCGGGAAGUUUUCCAUUAAACCCAGAGAUCCUUUUAUGUGCAGAUACCAACAGUUUAAUAGAGAUGGAGCACUUGUAUUAACCCUUAUUUGUUCCAUCAGUUUGGCUGUGUUAAUGCUAACGGUGUAAAUUUAGCCAAAGGUGUGUAUUUUGGGGGGAAUUUUGAGAUUUCAACCUCAGUUCCACUAACACAUCUAUAACACAUCUAUAACACAUCUAUAACACAUCUAUAACACACUGUGUUCACACAAUAGUCACACUCAGGACCUUCAGGACAAAACUGUCCCCAUUGAAACUCAUUAAAACUGCAAUAUUUGAUCCCAGCACCAUUAAAGCAUCAAAUCAUGAAUUGUAUGACAUUAUUAGUACACAUUUGACACAAGUUAAUUUUUUUAUGUCUUUAUGUUCUUUAGCCUAUGUGUCUGGCAGAUAUUAAAAUAUAUUUAUACUUUUUCUCUCUCUCUCAGAAAGAAAAUAAAUAAAAAUAUAGGUCUAAAAUGUUUUUCCCUCUCUCUAAAAUGUUUUUUUCUUCUCUUUAAUAUGUUUUUUCCUCCAAAAAUGUUUUUGGUCAAAAAGCAAAACUUUUUUCUUUGAAAUAAAUUGUCUAAA